rnacentral:rRNA from 1 species
CAGUCGCCGCGGUAAUACGUAGGUCCCGAGCGUUGUCCGGAUUUAUUGGGCGUAAAGCGAGCGCAGGCGGUUAGAUAAGUCUGAAGUUAAAGGCUGUGGCUUAACCAUAGUACGCUUUGGAAACUGUUUAACUUGAGUGCAAGAGGGGAGAGUGGAAUUCCAUGUGUAGCGGUGAAAUGCGCAGAUAUAUGGAGGAACACCGGUGGCGAAAGCGGCUCUCUGGCUUGUAACUGACGCUGAGGCUCGAAAGCGUGGGGAGCAAACAGGAUUAGAUACCCCCGUAGUCCCUGUCUCUUAUACC